ensembl:lncRNA
CGUGACCUUUCAGCACCUUCCACAGAGCCGCACAGUCGGCCUUCCUGUUCCGCAGACAUCGCCUCCCACGCAUCCUGCCAUUGUGUUUAUGUGCGUGUGGCACCGGCGGCCCGUUCCUUCAAACGCUCACACCUCCCACUCGCGGUGGCUCAUCCCAAACGGCCCUUCUCAUGUCUGCGUCCGCAGCAGACCGAAACAUCAAGGCCGGGUGGCAGCGGGGUGUCCGGGUUUUACUGACAACUCAAUCCCAUAAAAGUAGCAUAUACAACAUAAUCCUGGUCUUUGUACAGAUUAAGAGGUCAGAUGUCCUUUCUGCUCCUCAGAUAACUGGCACCGCUGUUCAAAACAAUGCGAGCAGGAUAAACCAGCAAGACAAAAGGCUCGUCUCACAUAUGGAAGACCAGCACAUGCUUCUGUGUAUCACAUGUGACAAUCACUUCACUUUAAACUUUUCCUCUGAUCAGUGUGAAGUCAGCUGACCACUUCAUCACCUACCUAUCACCCACGUGACACCUACGUGUCAAUAGAAAAAACCAAGACAGAGUUCAGUGAAAAAUUUCAUCCUGUUUUCUACAGAUGAUUUGAAAAUUUGAUGGUUCCUGGGGGUGAAUCCCGCCAAAACGAUGCAGUGCAUGUAUGCACAGUACAGGUAUGUGUCUCACAGAGCUCCACCAACACCAGCGGCGUGUAGGACACCCUUCAAACCACUACCCUGUGGAAUGCUGUUCUGCUCAAGACUGACAGGGCUCGAACUGAAAAGAACUUCUCAAGCAUGCUAAUAAACCCUCCACCACAGUCUUCACACCUGCGAGACUUCUUUUUCCUGAAGCUACCAUGAAGCCUCUUCUCCAGUAGGUCCAAUUGAGCGCUAGUGAGCAGAGCUCAUGCACAGAUUGCAGCUCUUGAUCUCAAACACCCAACAGAAAGCACACAGACGUCACAAUAGACAGCAUGAUCGACAAUACAGCUGGUUUCAGGAAGAGGUGAAGAGUUCAUUGAAGGCUUUCAAAUGUGAACUGAGAGAAGAAUGGCACAGUGAAAGAAAACGAAAGAAAAAAAUGAUAGCUUAUGUAUGUAUAUACUAGAAAAUGAUCCAGAAACCUCAAAUGUUAUUGGUUAUUGAUUUGUAAACCUCCAGCUCACUGGACUUGCUACAUGCGAAUUGGAUUUGGUUUGUUGUGUACCUGCACAACAUUUCUGAUGUGAUUCAAUGCCAUAAAAAGUGCCCAUGUGCAUGGGGUAGCGGGCACAGACCAGCUCGUGAUCUGAACCUGAAGGUUCGAGGCACGGGACAGAAUGUGGCUAUGGAAGAAAGCUUCCCGUUUUAGGUUUCUAGCAAUGCCUACGUUUAGUGUAAAAUACACAACCAAGGCUCCCUUUUCGGUUAAAGAUGCCAAGAUUUACAGGAAGGAAUUGUUGUGUUAAAAUACCUAAAUAGUCAG